UAGAGGAGACUUAAUGUUCUUACAAUGUGAUGUUGGCAUUCAUUGAGAUAUGAAGUCUAUGUUCCUUCCCCUUGUAUCUGGGCAAACCUGUGACUAUGAUAGAAGUGACACUACGAGUUCCAAGUUUUACUAUGAGUUCAUAAAGGAUGACAUGCAAUAAGAUGCUGCUGCCAUUCUGGAUGGAUCACACAGAGAUGGACACGUCCAAGGAGCCCUACUGUAGGAAUUUUUAAGUCCCUAGCUGUAGGAAUCUCCCCAGUAUCAACUGCCAGACAGAAAAGUGGAAUCACUGAGCCUCUGCAGCCUUAAGCUUCUGGGAUGAAGUAACAAGAGUGUGACAGGAACAGAGAAAGGAUAAAUGCCAACCAUAAUGAUCUUGACACCAUUCUGGAGAGCCAGCACCUCUUCAGACACUUCAAAGGAAGCAAGAGACCUUGGACCUUUCUGCUCAUGGAUAUUUGCCAGAAGGGAUGCAAAUCACUAUUAAAGAAUCACCUGACAUUAGUAAGAAGCUGGGCAUGCAGACCUGUGACUUGAGGGUUGCCUGGGGGAAAUGAAUCCUAAAUGCAGCCAGGCCUAUGGUGGCCACCUCACUUAGCCCAUUUGGAUAACAGGCAUUUUCAUUCUUUUGUCUUCAUAAUAACCUUGGUACCAUGAUGCCUAUGCUAAAGCCCUGAAUCAACCAAGAAGGAAUUUUAACAUGGUCUAAAAAUGUGAUUUGCUUCCAAGAAGUCCUAGUGCUCUGACAGUAUCAAUUGGGAGUUACUUUUCCUCUUGACUCUUGGCACUACUUGAGUCAUGGCAUUAAAAAAAACAAAUUCCUUUUGCUA